rnacentral:rRNA from 1 species
GUGGGGAAUAUUGGACAAUGGGCGAAAGCCUGAUCCAGCCAUGCCGCGUGAGUGAUGAAGGCCUUAGGGUUGUAAAGCUCUUUCAGUAGGGAAGAUAAUGACGGUACCUACAGAAGAAGCCCCGGCUAACUUCGUGCCAGCAGCCGCGGUAAUACGAAGGGGGCUAGCGUUGUUCGGAUUUACUGGGCGUAAAGCGCACGUAGGCGGAUUGGUCAGUUAGAGGUGAAAUCCUGGAGCUAAACUCCAGAACUUCCUUUAAUACUGCCAGUCUAGAGUCCAGAAGAGGUGAGUGGAACUCCUAGUGUAGAGGUGGAAUUCGUAGAUAUUAGGAAGAACACCAGUGGCGAAGGCGGCUCACUGGUCUGGUACUGACGCUGAGGUGCGAAAGCGUGGGGAGCAAACAGGAUUAGAUACCCUAGUAGUCC